GACGAACGCUGGCGGCGUGCUUAACACAUGCAAGUCGAGCGGAAAGGCCCUUCGGGUACGUCGAGCGGCGAACGGGUGAGUAACACGUGAGUAAUCUGCCUCUAGCUCUGGGAUAGCUCCGGGAAACCGGGAUUAAUACCGGAUACGACCACUCAAGACAUCUUCUGUGGUGGAAAGAAUUUCGGCUAGAGAUGAGCUCGCGGCCUACCAGCUUGUUGGUGGG
rnacentral:rRNA from 1 species